ACAAACAGGGUUAAGUGACUUGCCCAAGAUCACCCAACCAGCUUGUGGAAAGUUGGAAACAUGUCAGAUAUGGGCGGCUUCUGCUACUGGAAUACCCUGAGUGUCAUCUGGAUACUCACUCAAGGGCCAUGAAGAACAAUUUUAAUCUCCUUGCUAUGUGAUAGUUCUUCAAUUAUCUGGGCCAUCUUGCCUCUCUGAUUUUUUUCAUCUCCAGGUCAAAAUUUCUCAGUUCCUUCAAUCAAUCCUCACGUUGGAAUGGUUUUCAGGUCUUUCCUGUGUGCUUUCUUUCUGGACACACAAUACUGUUUCCUAAAAUUUGAUGCUCAAAGCUGAACAUAACAUUCUAGUUGUACUCUGAUCAGAGAAGACAACAGUAUGGCCACCCCCUUCUCCUUGUAGACAAUAUAUAUGAUUAAUUCAGCCUAAGAUUGUUAGGGUUUUUAUUUUUUGACACCCAUGUCACACUGUUGAUUCAUACUGAGUUGGCAGUUUGUUAAAAAAUCCCAGAGCAUUUUCACAUGAUCUGUCUAGCCCUGUCUUCUUCAUCUCAUAUGGGUGAGAUUGAUUUUUUUGAACCCAAUACAAGUAUAAUCAAUAAACAUUUGUAACCUAAGUAUAAGACUUUUUACAUUAAUCCCUAUUAUAUUUCUUCUUAUAGGUUCACUCAUUGUUCUAGCAUGUUGAGAUCAUUUUUAUUCCUCCCUCUGUCAUGUAAUGUGUUGGCUAUCCCUCUUAGUUUUGUGUCAUCCACACAUUUGCCGUCUGUGCCUUCACCCAAGUCAGUGUUAAAAAUGGUGAGAAAAGCAGGACCAAGGACAGAUACAAAUCGACACUAUACUGGAGAUCUCCCCUAGGAUGACAUUGAUCCAAUAAUCAUUACUCUUUAGGGGGAAGUAAUUCAGUUAUUCAGAAUUUGCCUAACUCUAUGGUCUUCUGGUUCACAUAUUUCUAUCUUGUUCACAAGGAUACCAUGAGAAAUUUCAUAAAAUACAUCAAAGAAACCCAGA